AACAAUACUAAUCUCUAUUAUGUUUUUUUUGGCUGGUGGAAGAAGUCAGGAGAUCUAUCUAUAAAGUAAAUUCUCGCUUCUUUUUAUUCGUCGAUCAAGUCUUCUCUCAAAUAUAUCCUGUUUACUUAUUUCUCAACAAUGAGUUCUCCACCCAAUAACUUUGCAGAUGGAACAGGUGAUGCUGAUGCCAAAAAACCUGUGUGUGAAGACAAGCGAGAAGGUGAAGGGUACGGCCGCGCAAAGUGGAUGGCUCCCAAAUACGAAAAACCAAACACAGAAGAGAAACCAGAUACAGAAAAAGACCCCAAAAAAGAAGAAACGUCAAAGAAUUAAAAGUGAGCAAUUCAUGUAAUGAAGAUGGUGUGUGUGUUUUACACUGUUUGUUUAUAGAAAUGCUACUAAAGUGCUACUUUUGUUUGAAUAAAUUCUGCUAAUUUAAAUAAUACUGCUUACGACAAA